rnacentral:rRNA from 1 species
CCCUUUCGGGUGUCAGCGGCGGACGGGUGAGUAACGCGUGGGAACGUGCCCUCUGGUUCGGAAUAACUCAGGGAAACUUGAGCUAAUACCGGAUACGCCCUUUUGGGGAAAGGCUUGCUGCCGGAGGAUCGGCCCGCGUCUGAUUAGCUAGUUGGUGAGGUAACGGCUCACCAAGGCGACGAUCAGUAGCUGGUCUGAGAGGAUGAUCAGCCACACUGGGACUGAGACACGGCCCAGACUCCUACGGGAGGCAGCAGUGGGGAAUAUUGGACAAUGGGCGCAAGCCUGAUCCAGCCAUGCCGCGUGAGUGAUGAAGGCCUUAGGGUUGUAAAGCUCUUUUAUCCGGGACGAUAAUGACGGUACCGGAGGAAUAAGCCCCGGCUAACUUCGUGCCAGCAGCCGCGGUAAUACGAAGGGGGCUAGCGUUGCUCGGAAUCACUGGGCGUAAAGGGCGCGUAGGCGGCGUUUUAAGUCGGGGGUGAAAGCCUGUGGCUCAACCACAGAAUGGCCUUCGAUACUGGGACGCUUGAGUAUGGUAGAGGUUGGUGGAACUGCGAGUGUAGAGGUGAAAUUCGUAGAUAUUCGCAAGAACACCGGUGGCGAAGGCGGCCAACUGGACCAUUACUGACGCUGAGGCGCGAAAGCGUGGGGAGCAAACAGGAUUAGAUACCCU